UUUGCAAGGAAUCCAGCAGCACCAAGGACCAACACAUUUUUAUCUUCAAGAAACUGAGUAAUGCUUCCAAAGUGUUCCAUUGGAGAAAAUACUGUUUUUAAGGCAAGUAUGGAGAAAUGACAAAGAUAUUGGAUAUAAGAAAGUUUUGUGUUUUGGUGUAAAAUAAUGUGCUAGAGGACCAAAUAUAUAUAGAAAAAAUAAAACGACACGUAACAAAGCAUUUAUUUGAAUAUAAUAUAAUAUGUAAUACUAUGUAUGUGGACCUAAG
rnacentral:lncRNA from 1 species